CAGAGGUCCCGAGCGUUGUUCGGAUUCAUUGGGCGUAAAGGGUGCGUAGGCGGUUUUUUAAGUUUGAUGUGAAAUCCCGGGGCUCAACCCUGGAAUUGCAUUGAAUACUGAAGAACUAGAGAUCUGGAGAGGAAACUGGAAUUUACGGUGUAGCAGUGAAAUGCGUAGAGAUCGUAAGGAAGACCAGUGGCGAAGGCGAGUUUCUGGACAGAUACUGACGCUGAGGCACGAAGGCCAGGGGAGCAAACGGG
rnacentral:rRNA from 1 species